GUAGGGAAUCUUCCACAAUGGACGAAAGUCUGAUGGAGCAACGCCGCGUGAGUGAAGAAGGUCUUCGGAUCGUAAAACUCUGUUGUUAGAGAAGAACGUGCAUGAUAGUAACUGAUCAUGUAAUGACGGUAUCUAACCAGAAAGCCACGGCUAACUACGUGCCAGCAGCCGCGGUAAUACGUAGGUGGCAAGCGUUGUCCGGAUUUAUUGGGCGUAAAGGGAACGCAGGCGGUUUUUUAAGUCUGAUGUGAAAGCCUUCGGCUUAACCGAAGAAUAGCAUUGGAAACUGGAAGACUUGAGUGCAGAAGAGGAGAGUGGAAUUCCAUGUGUAGCGGUGAAAUGCGUAGAUAUAUGGAGGAACACCAGUGGCGAAAGCGGCUUUCUGGACGGUGUCUGACACUGAGGCGCGAAAGCUAGGGGAGCGAACGGGAUUAGAUACCCGGGUAGUCC
rnacentral:rRNA from 1 species